CUCAGUCAGUCAUUAGAAGGAGAGGAUGGAGCUCACUCCACUUCCUGUGAUGUUCUGGACACAGAAAGCUGUGUUGUCCAUUCGACCUGAUAAACAAGUGUACAAAGAAGAAAAUGUUACACUUAAAUGUGACAUUCAUGAAGGAGGAGACACUGAGUGGACAUACAUCUGGAUGAAGGCUAAUAAAGUCUAUAAAAACAGCACAAUGCCAGAGAUCCAUAUCAACUCUGUUAAAAACAAUUCCACUGGUAACUACACCUGCAGAGGAGAAAAAAAUGACUCAGCAUUUAGAGCUCAGUGAUGCUGUUACACUGAAUGUAUCAGAGAAACCAGUGCCAGUACUGAGUGUAUCUUCAAAGAACUGGCUGACUGAAGGAGACUCAGUGACUCUAAGCUGUAAGGUUAAAGAUUCCUUUUCGGACAGGACAUUCAGCUUUCACAAAGUUGUUCCAUGUAAAGUCAAUGACAGUCACAUCAAGUACAAGCUGCUGCUCCUCUCAGACAGCAACAGAGGAUCUGGAGGUUCCUACACUCUUAGUCAUGUUGUUCUAAAUCACACAGGACUUUAUAGGUGCAGAGGAGAGAGAGGAAACCCAGCAUUUUCCACAAAGAACAGCAAUUUCAAGCCACUAUGGAUCACCGGUAAGGUCACAUAACAACACUGGUGUGGGAGUGUUAAAUGUAGAUGCAUGAGUAAAAAGAAAUCCACAACAUUAAUACUGUAAAUAAAGAAUCUGAGCUGUGUUAAUGUUUAGUGUAAAUAUCUUUAUAUUCACCCUCCUGAGUGAUGAAUGUUAA